AACGAACGCUGGCGGCAGGCUUAACACAUGCAAGUCGAGCGAGACCUUCGGGUCUAGCGGCGGACGGGUGAGUAACGCGUGGGAACGUGCCCUUCUCUACGGAAUAGCCCCGGGAAACUGGGAGUAAUACCGUAUACGCCCUUUGGGGGAAAGAUUUAUCGGAGAAGGAUCGGCCCGCGUUGGAUUAGGUAGUUGGUGGGGUAAUGGCCCACCAAGCCGACGAUCCAUAGCUGGUUUGAGAGGAUGAUCAGCCACACUGGGACUGAGACACGGCCCAGACUCCUACGGGAGGCAGCAGUGGGGAAUCUUAGACAAUGGGGGCAACCCUGAUCUAGCCAUGCCGCGUGAGUGAUGAAGGCCUUAGGGUUGUAAAGCUCUUUCAGCUGGGAAGAUAAUGACGUACCAGCAG
rnacentral:rRNA from 1 species